UACGGAGGGUGCAAAUGUUGCUCGGAAUCAUUGGGCGUAAAGCGCACGUAGGCGGCCUGAUAAGUCGGGUGUGAAAGCCCUGGGCUCAACCCAGGAAGUGCACUCGAAACUGUCAGGCUUGAAUAUGGAAGAGGGUCGCGGAAUUCCCGGUGUAGAGGUGAAAUUCGUAGAUAUCGGGAGGAACACCAGUGGCGAAGGCGGCGACCUGGGCCAAUAUUGACGCUGAGGUGCGAAAGCGUGGGGAGCAAACAGG
rnacentral:rRNA from 1 species